rnacentral:rRNA from 1 species
AGGUGAUCCAACCGCAGGUUCCCCUACGGUUACCUUGUUACGACUUCACCCCAGUCAUGAAUCACAAAGUGGUAAGCGCCCUCCCGAAGGUUAAGCUACCUACUUCUUUUGCAACCCACUCCCAUGGUGUGACGGGCGGUGUGUACAAGGCCCGGGAACGUAUUCACCGUGGCAUUCUGAUCCACGAUUACUAGCGAUUCCGACUUCAUGGAGUCGAGUUGCAGACUCCAAUCCGGACUACGACGCACUUUAUGAGGUCCGCUUGCUCUCGCGAGGUCGCUUCUCUUUGUAUGCGCCAUUGUAGCACGUGUGUAGCCCUGGUCGUAAGGGCCAUGAUGACUUGACGUCAUCCCCACCUUCCUCCAGUUUAUCACUGGCAGUCUCCUUUGAGUUCCCGGCCGGACCGCUGGCAACAAAGGAUAAGGGUUGCGCUCGUUGCGGGACUUAACCCAACAUUUCACAACACGAGCUGACGACAGCCAUGCAGCACCUGUCUCACGGUUCCCGAAGGCACAUUCUCAUCUCUGAAAACUUCCGUGGAUGUCAAGACCAGGUAAGGUUCUUCGCGUUGCAUCGAAUUAAACCACAUGCUCCACCGCUUGUGCGGGCCCCCGUCAAUUCAUUUGAGUUUUAACCUUGCGGCCGUACUCCCCAGGCGGUCGACUUAACGCGUUAGCUCCGGAAGCCACGCCUCAAGGGCACAACCUCCAAGUCGACAUCGUUUACGGCGUGGACUACCAGGGUAUCUAAUCCUGUUUGCUCCCCACGCUUUCGCACCUGAGCGUCAGUCUUCGUCCAGGGGGCCGCCUUCGCCACCGGUAUUCCUCCAGAUCUCUACGCAUUUCACCGCUACACCUGGAAUUCUACCCCCUCUACGAGACUCAAGCUUGCCAGUAUCAGAUGCAGUUCCCAGGUUGAGCCCGGGGAUUUCACAUCUGACUUAACAAACCGCCUGCGUGCGCUUUACGCCCAGUAAUUCCGAUUAACGCUUGCACCCUCCGUAUUACCGCGGCUGCUGGCACGGAGUUAGCCGGUGCUUCUUCUGCGGGUAACGUCAAUGAGCAAAGGUAUUAACUUUACUCCCUUCCUCCCCGCUGAAAGUACUUUACAACCCGAAGGCCUUCUUCAUACACGCGGCAUGGCUGCAUCAGGCUUGCGCCCAUUGUGCAAUAUUCCCCACUGCUGCCUCCCGUAGGAGUCUGGACCGUGUCUCAGUUCCAGUGUGGCUGGUCAUCCUCUCAGACCAGCUAGGGAUCGUCGCCUUGGUGAGCCGUUACCCCACCAACAAGCUAAUCCCAUCUGGGCACAUCCGAUGGCAAGAGGCCCGAAGGUCCCCCUCUUUGGUCUUGCGACAUUAUGCGGUAUUAGCUACCGUUUCCAGUAGUUAUCCCCCUCCAUCAGGCAGUUUCCCAGACAUUACUCACCCGUCCGCCACUCGUCAGCGAAGCAGCAAGCUGCUUCCUGUUACCGUUCGACUUGCAUGUGUUAGGCCUGCCGCCAGCGUUCAAUCUGAGCCAUGAUCAAACUCU